GAUGAACGCUGGCGGCGUGCUUAAUACAUGCAAGUCGAGCGAACGGACGCGAAGCUUGCUUCUCUGAUGUUAGCGGCGGACGGGUGUGUCACACGUGUAUAACCUACUUAUAAGACUGGGAUCAUUUCGGGAAACCGGCGCUUAUCCCGGAUAAUAUUUUGAACCGUAUGGUUCAAAAGUGAAAGUCGGCCUUGCUGUCACUUCUAGAUGGAUCCGCGCUGCAUUAGCUGGUUGGUACGGUAACGGCUUAUCAAGGCGACUAUGCAUAGCCGACGUGAGAGAGUGGUCGGCCGCACUAGAGCUGAGACGCGGUCCAGGCGCCUGCGAGAGGCAGCAGUAGGGAAUCUGCCGCAGUAGGCGAAAACCUGGCGGAACGGCGCCACGUGAGAGGUAGAAAUCUUCGGAUCGUAAAACUCUGUUAUUAGGUAAAAACAUAUUUGUAAGUAGCUGUACACAUCGUGACGGUACCUAGUCAGAAAGCCACGGCUAACUACGUG
rnacentral:rRNA from 1 species